rnacentral:lncRNA from 1 species
AACCACAAGAUUUCCUCUGUGAUACUUAGUAAUUUUGCCUUCAUCCAGUUAUGAAAGCACUAUAGCCCUUUCAAAUUGGUUAAGGGCUUGUUUACACCUCCUUUAUAUUUUUAAUUGAAAAAUGAUUCAAUCCAAGGGCCAUGGUCUUCUAUGAUUAGUUGGUGGUGAUGGUGGGCUGUGUGUGUAAUGUAACCUUUCCUUUGCCGAAGUAAAAUCAAACAAAUUAACCAAUGAAUAACAAUCAAAAACAUAUUUGUUCUGUGUCUUGCCUAACCCAUAGAAUUGAUCUAAAGUGUUUAUAUUACGAAUCAUGCCCACAUUGUGUCUUCUCUGUCUUAAUUUGUCUUAAUUAUUUUUCUUUUAGGCCUAGAGUGAUGAUGAUGGCUUGGGGAGAGAGAUUGACAAAGAAGUUCCUGGUGAUUCUGGUGCAUAGGUCUGGUUUUUAUGUUUAUGCCAAACUUCUUGAAGCUAGAAAUUGGACCUUGGCAAAGAAGCUGAAGCCGGAUGGCUACAUCAGUGCUGAUGUCAUCACUGCCCAGAGCUCUGGGUGAGGAGACCUGCAUUCUCUCUGCAACCGACUGCCUGGGAAAUGGAGCUGCCUCUUUGGCCCUCCCCUAGCCUGGCUGACACACGUAGAGAACAUUGCAUUUAUUCCGUGUCCGGGAUCAUGAUCAUUUCAUUUUGCUCAGGUCCCACUGCUCGGAUCAGAAGGUAAGCAGCCAGUGCAACUAACAUUACCUAGCUCCUGGCCCUUCAGAAGGAGGUUUCCACUGCAGGCUUCUCUGCUCUUCUUCUUGGCCAGCAACUGUCUGGUUAAUAGAAAAUGUCUG